UGGGGAAUUUUGGACAAUGGGCGAAAGCCUGAUCCAGCAAUGCCGCGUGUGUGAAGAAGGCCUUCGGGUUGUAAAGCACUUUUGUCCGGAAAGAAAUCCUUGGCUCUAAUACAGUCGGGGGAUGACGGUACCGGAAGAAUAAGCACCGGCUAACUACGUGCCAGCAGCCGCGGUAAUACGUAGGGUGCAAGCGUUAAUCGGAAUUACUGGGCGUAAAGCGUGCGCAGGCGGUUUGCUAAGACCGAUGUGAAAUCCCCGGGCUCAACCUGGGAACUGCAUUUGGUGACUGGCAGGCUAGAGUAUGGCAGAGGGGGGUAGAAUUCCACGUGUAGCAGUGAAAUGCGUAGAGAUGUGGAGGAAUACCGAUGGCGAAGGCAGCCCCCUGGGCCAAUACUGACGCUCAUGCACGAAAGCGUGGGGAGCAAACAGGAUUAGAUACCCUGGUAGUCCACGCCCUAAACGAUGUCAACUAGUUGUUGGGGAUUCAUUUCCUUAGUAACGUAGCUAACGCGUGAAGUUGACCGCCUGGGGAGUACGGUCGCAAGAUUAAAACUCAAAGGAAUUGACGGGGU
rnacentral:rRNA from 1 species